rnacentral:rRNA from 1 species
UACGUAGGGGGGCAAGCGUUGUCCGGAUUUAUUGGGCGUAAAGAGCGUGUAGGCGGCCUUACAGGUCAGCUGUGAAAACUCGAGGCUCAACCUCGAGACGUCGGUUGAAACCGUAUGGCUAGAGUCCGGAAGAGGAGAGUGGAAUUCCCGGUGUAGCGGUGAAAUGCGCAGAUAUCGGGAAGAACACCCGUGGCGAAGGCGGCUCUCUGGGACGGUACUGACGCUGAGACGCGAAAGCGUGGGGGAGCGAACAGG